UUCGAAGGGGGCUAGCGUUGCUCGGAAUUACUGGGCGUAAAGGGCGCGUAGGCGGAUGUUUAAGUCAGCGGUGAAAGCCCAGGGCUCAACCUUGGAACUGCCAUUGAUACUGGACAUCUUGAGUACGGGAGAGGUGAGUGGAACACCGAGUGUAGAGGUGAAAUUCGUAGAUAUCUGGAGGAACACCGGUGGCGAAAGCGGCUCACUGGACCCGAUCUGACACUGAGGUGCGAAAGCUAGGGUAGCAAACGGG
rnacentral:rRNA from 1 species